ensembl:snRNA
GUGUUGUAUGAAAGGAGAGAAGGUUAGCACUCCCCUUGACAAGGAUGGAAGAGUCAUUCAGGCCUGACAGCACCCAUUCGGUUAAGGCAUUACCAUCUGCUUCACAGCAUCUGACCGGCGUUUUUU